AUUAGAUCUUGAUCAUUCUUUUUUGUUGUUUUACGGUCUAGAUUAAUUUGUUAUUAUUUUUUUUUUAAUUUUAGUUUAGGCAUUGAAAUCUAAUUCUAGAGGGGUAGUAGAGUAAUUUUGCCUUAUUUGUAUCAUUACAAAUUUAGAAUGGCGUGAUUUUCUCCUUUUUUUCCUUCUGUGUGUAGUGUUUCAAUUGGAUCAGUAGUCUCUCUUUUAGUCUAGCAGUUCACGCAUCGCACUACAGCUCUCUCUCUCUUGUCAUCUCUCUCUAUCGCGUGCAACGUGCGAAGCUCCAUGGCCGCCUCUUCUCUUAAGCGGUCAAAGCGGCUAAAGAGGAAUUCUUUCGAUGAUGUUUAAGGAAAUGAAGAUGGAGAGAGUCGAAACGUGGUCCAAGAUAGUCUGUUUAAUGUUGGAAAAAUAAAAUAGAUUGUGGCGUGUUUGUAUGCGUCACAUAUCCGUAUAAAUAAUUGUUUUUAGUGCUUGUACUUUAUUAGAUUAUGGUCAUAUUAAUUUUUUUUGAGAAUAUUAUGGUCAUAUUAAUUAUGAAGGCAUUUUGCUAGUUUA